rnacentral:rRNA from 1 species
GUUGAACGCUGGCGGCAGGCUUAACACAUGCAAGUCGAGCGGUAACAGGAGAAGCUUGCUUCUCGCUGACGAGCGGCGGACGGGUGAGUAAUACUUAGGAAUCUACCUAGUAGUGGGGGAUAGCUCGGGGAAACUCGAAUUAAUACCGCAUACGACCUACGGGAGAAAGGGGGCAACUUGUUGCCCUCGCUAUUAGAUGAGCCUAAGUCGGAUUAGCUAGAUGGUGGGGUAAAGGCCUACCAUGGCGACGAUCUGUAGCUGGUCUGAGAGGAUGAUCAGCCACACCGGGACUGAGACACGGCCCGGACUCCUACGGGAGGCAGCAGUGGGGAAUACUGGACAAUGGGGGCAACCCUGAUCCAGCCAUGCCGCGUGUGUGAAGAAGGCCUUUUGGUUGUAAAGCACUUUAAGCAGUGAAGAAGACUCUAGGGUUAAUACCCUUAGACGAUGACAUUAGCUGCAGAAUAAGCACCGGCUAACUCUGUGCCAGCCGCCGCAGUAA